GUGAAGAUGAGGGACUUGGGAAUAUCCAC
rnacentral:piRNA from 1 species